GCUUUCAUAGUACUUUUCUGACCACGGUUUUCUGGAGUUUUUUCGUAUGGAGUUUGUAAGCUUCCUGACAUGGAUUAUAACUGUACUUGAUGGAGCACAGUUAUAAUAGCUGCUUUAGAGUCCUUGAUAAUUCCCACAUCUGAGUCAUCUCAAGUUAUUUUUGGCAGAUUUUGAUGGAUGUACAUUGAUGGAUAGCCACGUGGAUCCAGAAAAUAAAG